rnacentral:lncRNA from 1 species
UCAAUUUCAAUUUCUAUGUCAGUACUUCUACCUAAUCUCUACCAAACAUUACUUUUGAAGUAACUCCACCAUGCAACUUAAUAAAAUUAAAGAUUAGCUACUAACCCUAUCAUGAAAUUAUUUAGAGUUGAGGUAGAGGUACGGACCUAGGAAAUAGAAAUUGGGACAGUGAACAAAAUAUAGUUUGAUGAUUGUUAAUUAGAAAUAUAAAAUUUGUUAAACUCUAAUUUGUUAAAAAUGGUAUGUGCUUGAAGAUUGGAGCUCGAAGAACAUAAGAUUUGCCUCGGCACAUGUUAAGUUGAAGAACUGAGCAUCAGUUAGAAGCCGAUACUUGAGAAGCUAAGAUGUCUAUUCUUGAGCUAAAUAUAACUUUUUCUAUUUUCUUAUUUUGUUAACUUUCUCAAUCUCUAUUUCUAUGUUAGUACUUCUACCUCAUCUCUACCAAACAUUACUUUUGAAAUAACUCCACCAUGCAACUUAAUAAAAUUAAAGAUUAGCUACUAACCCUAUCAUGAAAUUAUUUAGAGUUGAGGUAGAGGUACGGACCCAGGAAAUAGAAAUUAAAACAGUGAACAAAAUAUAGUUUGAUGAUUGUUAAUUAGAAAUAGAAAAUUUAUAAACUCUAAUUUGUAUAUUUGUGACUAGAUAACCCGGAGUCAUUAAGUGCGGCGGAUGGAGGUUAGCUCUGGAGUGUCUUACUGUGAGUGGUAUAUUACACAUAUAUGUAUGUAUAUGCUUUUUCUCCUCUCUCCUUUGCAAUAUGCAUGCGUUUAAAGGCGAAUGAGAAUGACCAAACUUAGUGAUUAAGAUGAUAUGCCCGCAGGCAUUAUGUGAAAAAGUAGAUUUUAACUGCAUAACUAGAUUGAGUUAGAACCUCGUAGGCGAUGGGGUAAUCAUCG